CACCACUGUAGGCCAGAACCAUGGAGCCUUUGCUGGACAUAGCGUCUGGGAUUGGAGGCGUGAGUUCCCGGUGUCUGGAAUCUGUCUUCACGGUGCAGUGAACCACUCGGGCCCGAGCAGCGGUGGCAGGCGACAGAGCAGGUGAAAAAAAAAGACUCUCAAAGAGAAUAAUAUAAAUGGAAGUUUUCAUCUUUGAUAACUAGUACACUGAAACUCAAGAGUGUUUAUGACUCUGAACUCUAUAUUAUUACCAUGAAAGCAGGUAUUUUUGUUUUUGUUUUGGUUUGGUUUGGUUUUGGUUUUUGGUGGAGGGUGAGAGGGCAUAAGGGGUGUCGCAGACUUCUUGUGGACCUUCUGAAAAGUUUUGAAUCUUGAGUAUAGAAAAAUAUAUAUGCACAAUUUUUUGUGGGGGGUUUAUGGCCUUCAUGUUUAAGAAACUGUUCAUUUUGCAUUUAUUCUUUCUGCCAAGAGAAAGUAGGACUUUAUGCAAAAGAAUAUAAACUGUGAUAUUUUGGGAUAUAUGUGCUCUUUUCCUAACAAAAGUAACUCCUGAUUAGGAAUGAGUUGGGGAGGGAGUUGUGGGAGCUGUGGAUAGCCUCUCUGCAUUGUCUUUUAGCAUUCCUGAAAUAUUUUCCCCAAGCCUUUCUGGAAAUUGGUGCUGUCAGCACCUUUGCCAUUUGUCAGAAUGGCACUGUGUCUCAUUCUUUUAGUGUGUUGGUGCUGAAAGACAAAAAAAUGUUACAAAUUACUGUCAUGGCAAUAAAAUACCUAGCU
rnacentral:lncRNA from 10 species